GUUCUCAGCUGAUCACCAAAGCAGAUGAUCACCCAAAAGCCAGAAACAAACCACGGGCUGUCAUCACUACAGGACAGCAAACAACCGGCUGCACAGAAAAGCGGUGGUGUCUGUCCAGCUGCAGAGAGACGUGGCAACUGUUGGAGAGUCCGGAGACAGAACAGAGAUCCCAGGAACCCUGAAGGGGAUUCUGGGAGCCACAGCUACUGAGAGCUGCAGGUGCUAUAACUGAAGCUACCGCUACUGGUCAGGCUGCCACCAGAAGAGCUGCCUCAGAAAGAAGGCGAAAACCACCGAGGGCCAGGGGAGAAACUGCUGAGAUGCUUUACCUGGGACAGCCUUGCCAAGAGCCACCAUGGGUCCCGCAUCGGGAGCCACACACCCAGUGACAGAAAGGGGACACCUGACGACAGGCGCGCAAACAGGAAACACCAUGUGAAGAUAGAGGCAGAGAUCGGGGUGAUGGUUCGACAAGACAAAGAAUGCCAGACACUGCAGCAAACCACCAGAAGUUAGAGGAGAGGCCGGGAACAGAUUCUCCCUCAAAUCCCUCAGAAGGGCGGAGCCAACCCUGCCAACCCCUCCAUCUUGGACUUUGACCCCCAGGACUCAGAGACAAUAAAUUUCUGUUGUUCAAACCACCCAAUUUGUGGUAUUUUGUGGUGGCCAACCAAGCAAAGUAAUACAACUCCCAAGUCAGCUUCUUGAUCUACCCCUGCCUAUCUCUCCAGCCACAUCCACCUCUCACCCCCAGGCUUUAUAACGCAGCCAUAUCAAUUGACUUCAAGUUCUCCGGAUGUAGCAUGUUCCGUGCCUCUGGGCCUGUGCCCGCGCUGCAUCCUCUACCUGGAGUGCCCACUCCCAGCCCCCUCCAGCUGCAGGGUACCCAGGAGUCCUGGAAGGCUCAGCUCAACCCUCCCUUCUUCCGUUUCCCUGGUCACUAAGCUCUUCUCCCUGCCAGCCAAACCUCCACAGAAUUAGCCACUCGUCCACUACUGCUGUUUGGACCCAACAUCUGUCCCCACGGCCUCAGCUCCGUCUCUUCCUCCAGCCACUGCUGCAGCUACUAGCGUCAACCCCACGUCAACCAGCUGCACACAGGCAUGAUCUGACUGCCCCUCUCCUCGGCCCAUGCUGCUUGGCCCAGGCCUUCUCUGAUGCCAAGAAUGGAAACCCACAGAAACCAAUUAGACACACGCAUGGGCCAAAUGGAAGAAAUACAGGGGAGGUGAACACUCUCGGGCUACCCAAGGAUAAAGUUGCCCUUUCAUCCCCUGUGCAGGACGUUCUGACUCACUUUUCAUCAAGGUCCUUAGAAAUCCCAGUGAACUGAGCACCAGUGGCUGUCACACUGGCCCACUCCGCAAGCAUCCUUGCA